rnacentral:rRNA from 1 species
UACGUAGGCAGCGAGCGUUGUUCGGAGUUACUGGGCGUAAAGAGUGCGUAGGCGGUUUUCUAAGUUUGGUGUGAAAUCUCCCGGCUCAACUGGGAGGGUGCGCCGAAGACUGGAAGGCUUGAGUAUGGGAGAGGUAAGCGGAAUUCCUGGUGUAGCGGUGAAAUGCGUAGAUAUCAGGAGGAACACCAGUGGCGAAGGCGACUUACUGGACGAUUGUUGACGCUGAGGUGCGAAAGCGUGGGGAGCAAACAGG